GAUGAACGCUGGCGGCGUGCCUAACACAUGCAAGCCGAGCGAUUUACUUCGGUAAAGAGCGGCGGACGGGUGAGUAACGCGUGGGUAACCUGCCUCAUACACAUGGAUAACAUACCGAAAGGUAUGCUAAUACAAGAUAAUAUAAGAGAUUCGCAUGGGUCUCUUAUCAAAGCUCCGGCGGUAUGAGAUGGACCCGCGUCUGAUUAGCUAGUUGGUAAGGUAACGGCUUACCAAGGCGACGAUCAGUAGCCGACCUGAGAGGGUGAUCGGCCACAUUGGAACUGAGACACGGUCCAAACUCCUACGGGAGGCAGCAGUGGGGAAUAUUGCACAAUGGGCGAAAGCCUGAUGCAGCAACGCCGCGUGAGCGAUGAAGGCCUUCGGGUCGUAAAGCUCUGUCCUCGAGGAAGAUAAUGACGGUACUUGAGGAGGAAGCCCCGGCUAACUACGUGCCAGCCGCCGCGGUAACAC
rnacentral:rRNA from 1 species